rnacentral:rRNA from 1 species
UACGUAGGGCGCAAGCGUUGUCCGGAAUUAUUGGGCGUAAAGAGCUCGUAGGCGGCCUAUUGCGUCCGCUGUGAAAUCCCAGGGCUUAACCCUGGGCCUGCAGUGGAUACGGGUAGGCUGGAGGCAGGCAGGGGGAGAACGGAAUUCCCGGUGUAGCGGUGAAAUGCGCAGAUAUCGGGAGGAACACCAAUGGCGAAGGCAGCACUCUGGGACGUGACUGACGCUGAGACGCGAAAGCGUGGGGAGCAAACAGG